rnacentral:misc_RNA from 1 species
UACGGGGGGGCAGCAGUGGGGAAUUUUGGACAAUGGGGGAAACCCUGAUCCAGCCAUCCCGCGUGUGCGAUGAAGGCCUUCGGGUUGUAAAAGCACUUUUGGCAGGAAAGAAAACGGCACGGAUAAUACCCGCAACUGACGGUACCUGCAAUAAGCACCGGCUAACCACGCCAGCAGCCGCGGUAAUACGUAGGGGUGCAAGCGCGUUAAUCGGAGUUACCGGCGUAAAGCGUGCGCAGGCGGUUCGGAAAGAAAGAUGCGGAAAUCCCAGAGCUUAACUUUGGAACUGCAUUUUUAACUACCGAGCUAGAGUGUGUCAGAGGGGAGGUGGAAUUCCGCGUAGCAGUGAAAUGCGUAGAUAUGCGGAGGAACACCGAUGGCGAAGGCCUCCUGAUAACACUGACGCUCAUGCACGAAAGCGUGGGGAGCAAACAGGAUUAGAUACCUGCAGU